UCUCCAGACUCCUACGGGAGGCAGCAGUGGGGAAUAUUGCACAAUGGGGGAAACCCUGAUGCGGCGACGCCGCGUGAGUGAAGAAGUAAUUCGUUAUGUAAAGCUCUAUCAGCAGGGAAGAAAAUGACGGUACCUGAGUAAGAAGCCCCGGCUAACUACGUGCCAGCAGCCGCGGUAAUACGUAGGGGGCAAGCGUUAUCCGGAUUUACUGGGUGUAAAGGGAGCGUAGACGGCAGUGCAAGUCUGGAGUGAAAGGCGGGGGCUCAACCCCCGGACUGCUCUGGAAACUGUACGGCUGGAGUGCGGGAGGGGCAGGCGGAAUUCCUGGUGUAGCGGUGAAAUGCGUAGAUAUCUGGAGGAACAUCAGUGGCGAAGGCGACUAUCUGGCACAUAACUGACGCUGAGGAGCGAAAGCGUGGGUAGCAAACAGGAUUAGAUACCCGGGUA
rnacentral:rRNA from 1 species